CAGCCGCCACGGUAAUACGAAGGGGGCUAGCGUUGCUCGGAAUGACUGGGCGUAAAGGGCGCGUAGGCGGCGAUCAAAGUCAGGCGUGAAAUUCCUGGGCUCAACCUGGGGGCUGCGUUUGAUACUUGAUUGCUAGAGUGGGGAAGAGGGUCGUGGAAUUCCCAGUGUAGAGGUGAAAUUCGUAGAUAUUGGGAAGAACACCGGUGGCGAAGGCGGCGACCUGGUCCUUGACUGACGCUGAGGCGCGAAAGCGUGGGGAGCAAACAGGAUUAGAUACCCCUGUAGUCCCUGUCUCUUAUAC
rnacentral:rRNA from 1 species